AUAAUUGGGUAAAAAUUUGUUUACCAACUUUUGGUGAAUAUUGAUCACUUUGUUGGUACAAUUUGAAAAUAUUUAACCAACUCAUAUGCGUUGAGUUGGUCAACGCUUAAACUACCAUUAGUAGGGUAACUGUAUCUAUUUAUUGGGUAACUAGUUUAAGCCCAACUGAGAUGGUUGAUGCCACCCUAGAUGUUGGGACUUUGGGGAAAAUUGACACCAUCUCUUGGUGAAAAUAUUUUGCCGUUAUUUAUUGACCAACAGAUGGUCUACUGUUCUCCAUCCUAUUGGGUGAAAUGCCUAUAGGUUUAAAUUACCCAACCGAGAUGGUUGAUGCCACCCUACUUGUUGGGACUGUGGAACAAAUCUAUACCAUCUCUUGGUGAAAAUAAUUGGCCGUUAUUUAUUGACCAACGGAUGAUCUGUUGUUCUCCAUCCUAUUGGGUGAACUGUAGACUUAGGCCUACCCAACAACCGAGAUGGUUAAUGCAUCCUUACUUGUUUGGGAGUGUGGAACAAACUUACACCAUCUGUUGGUGAAAAUGGCCGUUAUUUAUUGACCAACGGAUCUCCAUUCUAUUGGGUGAACUGUCUGUUGGUUCAUAUAACCCAACCGAAAUGGCCUCCCAAGUUGUUGGGAUAGACUUACAACAUUAUUAUGUGAGACUAAAAUCUAUAAGUAAUAUAAUAAUAAUCAAAGCACUUAUUAUUAGCGUUCUUAUGCAAAGGUAUCGCAACGCUUUACAUUAAUGUAUUAUAAUGAUUGUGGUAAUUACAUUUUAUAGUGCGGCCACGAUAACUUGGAUGUGUUCCAAAAAAUAAGUAAAUAUCUUCUCUACGAGAUGGGAAAAUCUCGAAUUUUUGCACUUUUUAAGUGUUUUUUUUUAACCAUCAGAUUGGGAGACUGCAGUGGAAAAUUCCAAUGCCAUCACACAGCGUGCCAAACAAAGCGCGCGACGCGCUUUGCCGCCGACUAGCUGGUGUUAAAAAUAAAAGCAAAGCCGUACGUAUAUUAUGUACUUGUGUAGCACUAGUAGAAUGGAGGCGGUCAUGGUGGACAAGUCAGUUGGUGAGUUACUAGAAUCAUGGGGAGUAGGACAUCUGUUGAAUGUUUUUGAAGAGAAUCAGAUAGACAAAGCAGCUUUGGAGUUGCUUGACGAGGCAUCAAUACAAGAACUGAUACCAAAGAUUGGCACCCGACUCAAAUUUCUAAGAGGUUGGAGAUCGGAAUUGAGAAGAAUAAUUUAGCACUUCUAGUUCUGCCGGUACUACUUGGAGGAAGGGCUAAAGGCAAGUCUGGUGGACGGUGUGCUUUAGCACAGAGCUUGACAUCUUUCAUCCACCUCAAACCGGCUACAACCAACAUCGAGCAGUAUCUGGGGAACAUCAGUGAGAAGGACAAACCACAGCCCUACAUACUUGGCCUCUUUACUGGGAACAAGUUGCUGCCAAGCCAGACAUUUGUGGUAAUUGAAAGGCGUGCAGUGGAGUCUUCUUCAUUGCUUGAUGCAGUAGACAUUGCUUUUAAGGCGCAUUAUGGGCUAAAUCUCAGUU